rnacentral:rRNA from 1 species
GAUGAACGCUGGCGGCGUGCCUAAUACAUGCAAGUCGAGCGAACAGACGAGGAGCUUGCUCCUCUGACGUUAGCGGCGGACGGGUGAGUAACACGUGGAUAACCUACCUAUAAGACUGGGAUAACUUCGGGAAACCGGAGCUAAUACCGGAUAAUAUAUUGAACCGCAUGGUUCAAUAGUGAAAGACGGUUUUGCUGUCACUUAUAGAUGGAUCCGCGCCGCAUUAGCUAGUUGGUAAGGUAACGGCUUACCAAGGCGACGAUGCGUAGCCGACCUGAGAGGGUGAUCGGCCACACUGGAACUGAGCCACGGACCAGACUCCUACGGGAGGCAGCAGUAGGGAAUCUUCCGCAAUGGGGGAAAGCCUGACGGAGCAACGCCGCGUGAGUGAUGAAGGUCUUCGGAUCGUAAAACUCUGUUAUUAGGGAAGAACAAAUGUGUAAGUAACUAUGCACGUCUUGACGGUACCUAAUCAGAAAGCCACGGCUAACUACGUG